GAUGAACGUUGGCGGCGUGGAUUAGGCAUGCAAGUCGUACGGGUCGGUGCAGCAAUACAACGGCAAGUGGCGAAAGGGAGAGUAACACGUAGAUACCUACCCUCUGGUCGGGGAUACCGCGGCAUAACCGCAAGUAAUACCCGAUAAAAUCUCCGGAUCAAAGGUGUGAUUCCGCCGGAGGAGGGGUCUGCGUUCUAUCAGCUUGUUGGUGAGGUAAUGGCUCACCAAGGCUAAGACGGAUACGGGGUGUGAGAGCAUGCCCCCGCUCACUGGGACUGAGACACUGCCCAGACACCUACGGGUGGCUGCAGUCGAGAAUCUUCGGCAAUGGGCGCAAGCCUGACCGAGCGACGCCGCGUGCGGGAUGAAGGCCUUCGGGUUGUAAACCGCUGUCGAGGGGAAUGAAGUGUAGGUGGGUACUCCCAUCUAUUUGACAGAUCCCUGGAGGAAGCAUGGGCUAAGUUCGUGCCAGCAGCCGCCGUAACAC
rnacentral:rRNA from 1 species